rnacentral:rRNA from 1 species
UACGGGGGGGUAAGCGUUGUUCGGAAUUACUGGGCGUAAAGGGCUCGUAGGCGGCCAACUAAGUCAUACGUGAAAUCCCUCAGCUUAACUGGGGAACUGCGUCUGAUACUGGAUGGCUUGGAUUCGGGAGAGGAAUGCGGAAUUCCAGGUGUAGCGGUGAAAUGCGUAGAUAUCUGGAGGAACACCGGUGGCGAAGGCGGCAUUCUGGGCCGACAUUGACGCUGAGGAGCGAAAGCCAGGGGAGCAAACGGG